GUCAAAAAUCCUAAGUUCUUGAAAGGUCACACUGGCGCUGUUUCAGUUGUGGAUGGAAUUUACGUAAACGAGCAUCUUAUUGUUGCAACUGCUUCCACCGAUUCAACGAUCAAAUUUUGGCAUCAAGAUUCCUCUUCGAAUGAUUUCGUUUGUGUGCAAACCAUUUCGCUGGGCAGCGGUUUCUGUUUUGCCAUCAAAAUGUUUUACAUCAAAAACACAGAUUGUGUACUGCUUGCGUUGGCAACCGAUGAUUACAACGUUCAUUUGUAUGGUUCUGUCCAUACAGCGGAUGUCGCUGAUACACAGCAUAGUGUUCCACAUCAUUAAACAGGCCCAGACCCAAACGAAGGAAUCGAUGCCAAACGUUAUCAAUAUGGAUCCAGCGCUGGUGGAAACAUAUUCAAGGCUUUUGGUGUACACAGAAAUUGAAUCGCUCGGAAUAAAGGGAUUCUUGAGUCAAUUGUUGCCUGCUGUUUUUAAAUCUCCUGCAUGGGGUAUAUUACACACACUACUCGAAAUGCUUUCGUAUCGAAUGCAUCACAUUCAGCCGUUCUACCGAGUGCAAUUACUUUCGCAUCCACAUUCGUUGGCGUCCGUGCCACACACAAAUCUGACUCAAUUACAUUUAUGCGUUGAAUCAACGGCAUUACGUUUGAUAACCGGACUGGGAAGUGCUGAAAUACCGCUGCAACUCACUCGGUACUUUACGGACCAAAACUACCUGGCAGUGCUGUUAGUUUGGAGAGCGAAGAGUUCAAUCGAACGUUAAUACUGACGAUUGCCCGAUCGAUGCAUAUAACCGGAUCUGGUAACGACGAUCAAUCUACAGCUUGGUGCAAAGAUCUGCUAAUCACAAUAAUGCAAAAUACUCCGCAUUCAUGGGCUUCGCACACGUUGGCCUGUUUUCCAACAAUUUUGAACACAUUUUUCUCGCAGAAUACCACGCCGAAGGAAAACAAACAGCAGCUGAAAAAGUCAGUUGAAGAGGAGUAUCGGAAUUGGGUAUCAAUGUCCAACGAAAACGACAUCAUUGCUCACUUUAGUGUGGCCGGAACACCUGAUUCUUUUUUAAAUUAAAACGACGAUUUUUUUACGAAGAGAUUUGAUCGA